AUACUCUGGUUUCUCCUCAGACUGCAUAAAUCUUUCACCUUUU
rnacentral:snRNA from 1 species